AAGCUGGGCCAACAGAUAGAUAGCUGUAGUCACCCGUAACGUGAGAGUAGUGUUAGACAGUAUACUGUUGUGACCCACUAACGCAUUAAGUCUCCCCCCGGGGAGUACGGUCGCAAGAUAAAACUCAAAAGAAUUGACGGGGGCCCGCACAACGGUUGGAGCAUGUGGUUAAUUCGAAGCAACGCGCAGAACCGUACCAACCGGGGACAUACCUGUCGCGGUUACCAGAGAUGGUUCCUUCAGUUCGGCUGGACAGGAUACAGGUGUUGCAUGGCUGUCGUCAGCUCGUGUCGUGAGAUGUUGGGUUAAGUCCCGCAACGAGCGCAACCCUCGCCUUUAGUUGCCAUCAUUUAGUUGGGCACUCUAGAGGGACUGCCGGUGAUAAGCCGGAGGAAGGUGGGGAUGACGUCAAGUCCUCAUGGCCCUUAUGGGUUGGGCUACACACGUGCUACAAUGGCGGCGACAGAGGGCAGCGACCCCGCAAGGGUGAGCUAAUCCUCAAAAGCCGUCUCAGUUCGGAUUGUUCUCUGCAACUCGAGAGCAUGAAGGUGGAAUCGCUAGUAAUCGCAGAACAGCAUGCUGCGGUGAAUACGUUCCCGGGCCUUGUACACACCGCCCGUCACAUCAUGGGAGUUGGCUUUACCCGAAGGUGGUGCGCUAACCUAGCAAUAGGAGGCAGCCAACCACGGUGAGGUCAGCGACUGGGAUGAAGUCGUAACAAGGUAGCCCUAGGGGAACCUGGGGCUG
rnacentral:rRNA from 1 species